UACGUAGGGUGCGAGCGUUAAUCGGAAUUACUGGGCGUAAAGCGUGCGCAGGCGGUUCGUUAAGUCUGAUGUGAAAGCCCCGGGCUCAACCUGGGAAUGGCAUUGGAAACUAGCGGGCUUGAGUGUGGCAGAGGGGGGUGGAAUUCCACGUGUAGCAGUGAAAUGCGUAGAGAUGUGGAGGAACACCGAUGGCGAAGGCAGCCCCCUGGGUCAACACUGACGCUCAUGCACGAAAGCGUGGGGAGCAAACAGG
rnacentral:rRNA from 1 species